ACGUAGGCAGCAAACGUUGUUCGGAAUUACUGGGCGUAAAGAGUGUGUAGGCGGUUCUGUAAGUUCUGUGUGAAAUCUCCCGGCUUAACUGGGAGGGUGCGCCGAAAACUGCAGGGCUUGAGUACUGGAGAGGAUAGCGGAAUUCCUGGUGUAGCGGUGAAAUGCGUAGAUAUCAGGAGGAACACCGGCGGUGUAGACGGCUGUCUGGACAGUAACUGACGCUGAAACACGAAAGCGUGGGGAGCAAACAGGA
rnacentral:rRNA from 1 species